CUCAGUUGGCGCUCGCUCUGCGCUCUGCCCGUCAGCACUCAGCUGUUGCUGCUGCUGCCUGGCCUUUUCCUGCUGCCUGCUCUGGAGCACCAAUCCCAGCAGGAUGAGCACUGCUGCGCCAGUGGAGACUAACAGAGACACUGUGGUGGCGAUGGAAGUGGACAUGGUGCUGAAUGAGGAAGAGAUGAUGGAGGUGGACGUGGAAGACCAGGUUGAGGAGAUGGAAGUUGAUGAGGAGGAUGACAUCGAGGCGAUGGAAGUGGAUGAGAAGGAUGAGGAGGAGCCCAUGGUCCUUGGAUGAAGAUGGAGCCCCACAAGACUGAUGCAGAUGAUGGCUGUAGAUAUUACGGCGGUGUAUAUAUGUUUGAAAAGUUAGGAUAUUUUUGUAAAUAUGUUCUUAGGUUAGUAGUUCUUUGUAAAUAUGUUUUGAAGAUUGUUACUCCAUAGGAUCCCAUGGAAAUAUGUGCAGUAGAUUGUUGU